rnacentral:rRNA from 1 species
GACGAACGCUGGCGGCGUGCUUAACACAUGCAAGUCGAACGGAAAGGCCCUGCUUGCAGGGUACUCGAGUGGCGAACGGGUGAGUAACACGUGGGUGAUCUGCCCUGCACUUCGGGAUAAGCCUGGGAAACUGGGUCUAAUACCGGAUAGGAGCCAUUUUUAGUGUGAUGGUUGGAAAGUUUUUUCGGUGUAGGAUGAGCUCGCGGCCUAUCAGCUUGUUGGUGGGGUAAUGGCCUACCAAGGCGGCGACGGGUAGCCGGCCUGGGAGGGUGGACGGCCACAAUGGGGACGAGAUACGGCCCAGACCCCCACGGGGAGCAGGAGUGGGGAAUAUUGGACAAGGGGGGGGAGCCCGAUGCAGCGAAGGCGGGGGGGGGAUGAAGGCCUUCGGGUUGGAAACUCGCUUCGCUAGGGAAGAAGCUGUUUGUGACGGUACCUAGAUAAGAAGCACCGGCUAACUACGUG